CUCAGUAAAAAAAGUAAAAGAAAUAGAGUUUUGCGUAAAACAGCCCAUCCGGCGUCCCUUGCGUCAAAGGAAAUACAGCCCCAAUAAUAAGAAGAGGAGAAUUCCCAGAUUUAUAAAAAUGACCAGCAGCUUCGUCAAAGGAAUAUUUCCUUCAGAAGUAGCACCCCAAUGCCCUAUCUGGCUAGUUACUAAAAUAUUCAUCAGACGAAAAAAAAGAAAUUAAUU
rnacentral:lncRNA from 1 species